ensembl:lncRNA
CCCGUCCCCCGGCGAGGAGCGAGUGCCGCGCCGCUCCGCCUUCUCCUUUUCGCAAUGUUGACGCAAUCUAUAAAUAGUGGAACAAAAGGAGCAACUUCCUCGCAGCUUUGCUGAAACUGCACAAAAAAGGCAACCGGGGGGGUGGGGGGGGGCGUUAUUUUGAUUUGAUUUUUUGCCACCGCUUUCAAAAGCGAAGCCUCCUUCCCUCCCUUUCCCCCCCCCGCCCCCCUCCCCGCCUCUCUCUCUCGCUACUGGAAGAUUACAGAUCCGUGCGCGAUUAUUUUUUGAUUCCUCGUUGUCUGCUGCGCUGGCACCGUCCUGCGAGCGGCGGAGCGGCUCGGCGCCGGGCUUCCCCUGCUGACAAUUACGGAUGAAAUCCAUAUGCUGAUGGCUACCCUGUAAUGAAGGCUCAUUGCUCUCAUUGCUAUUUCUACCACAAAAUGCUGCUUUCGUGGGCAAAAAGAAAAAAAAAAAGAAAAAAAAAAAAAAAGAAAAGAAAACCUCCAAGCCGUUGGCUGCCAUUCCUUUCGGUGCUCAUUGAAAACUUCACUCAGGGCAGUUUUAAUCAGCUAAGCCUGAAAGUGUAAAUAUACGGCCAAUCAGUUCUAUUUUCUCCCUUUCAAAAAAAAAAAAAAAGGGAAAAAAAAAAAAAGGAAAAGAAAACAAGAUGUGAGGAACGACCGAUUCCUUUUUUUUUUUGCUAAGAACUUGCUUUGAAAAAAAAAAAAAAAAAAGAAAAAAAAAAAGAGUUGGCUCUCGAGUGAUCCCGAGCCUCGGAGCCUCGGCGCGAGCAGCCGCGAACGGGCGCGGUAUCAGCGUGCGGUGCCUCACGCACCGCUCGGCGCUCAGCCGGCAGCCCCGGGAUCGCGUGUUUCUGACCGGCAGCGCACUUCUCGUAGCCAUGACGGUCUGAGCGAGCCCGGCAGCUCGGAGCUCUCCGUGUCGGUCGGUUAGGGGAAAAAAAGAAAAAGGCGACGAGCGAGAAGGCGACGAGAGAGAGCGCGGGCCUGGGGAGCGGCGGUGCGCGGCCCCCGCUGCUCUCUCGCUCCCUCCCGCAGAGGGAAGCCCGGCGCCGGGGCUGAGGCGGACCCGCCGCAGCCUCACGUCAAGUGCAGAGAGAGGUCCCGGAGCGCCUCCAUCUCGCUUCCCCCCUCCGCGAAAUGGGGCUGCGAGCGCGGGCCGAGCUCCGUCCGCUACCUGACGGCUCGGCACGGCUCCGGGGGGGCGGCGUGAAAAUGAAAGUUCGCCUCUCCCCCCCCCCCCAUCCCUCCCCCCCCCACCCCCAUCCUCCCCGCCCCGCGUCCCCGCAGCGCUAUUUUUUUUCAAACGAGCGCUGCGCGGGGCCCGGUCCGCACGGCUCAGCCCGCAGCGCCCGGGCGGGGCGGCGGGGGGGACCUGAGCGCGGGGUCCCGCGGGAGGGAUGGGGGGGGGCGGGGGGAAAGCACCGCCGCGUGGAGCACCCCCCCUCCCCGCGGCCCCUUUACCUUGACAGCCGGCGGCGCUCCCUGUCCCUCCGUCCCCUCGCUCCGUCCCUCAGCACCGCGCCCGCCGGGUGACAUUUCCCUCC